CCCAUAUAUAAAACAUGUCAAAUGUUUUCAUUUUAAAACUUCUUAUCGUGCGGAAUACAAAGACUGUUUGUAUAUAAAAGCAGUCUCGAGAGCGGACCACCAGUCGGUCAAUAAUUGAAAUAUUCCGUUGGCGGUUAGAAGUAUUAGGAAUAAUAAUUUACAAAAUUCCAGCCAUUUCGGUAACAAUGUCAAUGUCACAAUGACGUAGUUCAAGACAAUAUGGCAGAUAUUGAACUUCACAAUGAGUGAUCCGCCAUUGCGAUGGUUCGCCAUUGGUGGUACGAAAUUGACAACAAAUAAUUUAUGCCGUGGGCCGUUGGCCAAAAUUAUUUCGCUUCGUGGCAACCCCCUGGGGAAUAGCUUUUCUGUGGUUCAAUGCAUAUAGUACUAUAGAUGUUCAAUUACCAAAAAACGUUCCCAAGCAAAAACCUUGCCAAACACCGAGAAAAUGGGUGAUCAG